GACGAACGCUGGCGGCGUGCUUAACACAUGCAAGUCGAACGGAAAGGCCCUGCUUUUGUGGGGUGCUCGAGUGGCGAACGGGUGAGUAACACGUGAGUAACCUGCCCUUGACUUUGGGAUAACUUCAGGAAACUGGGGCUAAUACCGGAUAGGAGCUCCUGCUGCAUGGUGGGGGUUGGAAAGUUUCGGCGGUUGGGGAUGGACUCGCGGCUUAUCAGCGUGUUGGUGGGGUAGUGGCUUACCAAGACUUUGACGGGUAGCCGGCCUGAGAGGGUGACCGGCGACAUAGGGGGAGAGAGACGGCGCAGAGACCUCCAGGGGAGAGAGGAGGGGGAAAUUGCCCGAAGGGGGGGAGCGUGUGACAGAGACACAGCGUGCGAGAGAAGAAGGUUCGGGGGGUGAAAAGCUUUCUCCUGAGGGAAGAAGAAAGUGACGGUAAUUGAGGAAGAAGCACCGGCUAACUACGUG
rnacentral:rRNA from 1 species